CUGCGCGAGUUUUUAUUUCCUUCGUGACGGUACCGGCAGGUGUCUUCAUGCUGUGGCUCUCGGACCGAACCUCUUUGUCACCGGCCUGGAGGGGGGCCGGCUACAAACCGAAUGUAGGCCGCGAGCAGUGAAGUCCCAGGAAGGGAAGGGGUGUGAGGCCUCGCGUGGAGCUUUGGUGUGGGGGACCUAAAGGAGAGGGAUUUCUAGUUUGACAGGAGUUAACGCUGAGCAUCGGUGUCGCGCUCUGCACCUCGCGUUAGAAUCCAGCAGAGGCUAGGCUGGCAGAGGGCCCGAUGGCCGAAGACAACCGAGAGCCCCCGGCAGGAGCCGGCACCCUCCGAGAGGCCCUCCGGGCGCUCCUGCCCCACAGGAAGGAGGAGCUGGUGCCAGAGCUCGGGGAGAAGGUAGAGCGCAGCGUGGUGCAGCUCCUGUGGGAGGCCGCUGAGCUGUUCUGCGGGGGCCGCCGGAGCGAGUGUCUGCAGGCCAGUGAGGCCAUCCUGGACUACUCCUGGGAGAAACUCAACACGGGCCCGUGGCAGGACGUCCACAAGGACUGGCGCCGCGUCUACGCCUUCGGCUGCCUCCUGAAGGCAGUGUGUCUGUUCGAGGAGCCUGGGGAUUCCGCCGCAGUGGCCGCGGCCCUGAAGGCCUGUGACAUGGGCCUGCUGAUGGGGGCGGCCAUCCAUGGGGACAUCCUCAUUAAAGUCGCCGCUGUCCUCCAGGCUCACCUCCCCUCAGCAAAGAGGCCCGGCCCAGGCCUGGCCGAGGAGCAGCCCAGCAUGAAGAAAGCGAGGGACGACUGUGUUUCGGUUCCGGAUGUGGCAUCGGAGAGACUGGUCCCCCGGCUUCGCUGUCCGUCCCUCCAGCAUUUCAGGAAGCAGUUUCUGGUUCCCGGGAGGCCUGUGAUCCUGGAAGGCGUGGCGGACCAGUGGCCGUGCAUGACGAAGUGGAGUUUGGAGUAUAUCCAAGACAUUGCCGGCUGCCGAACUGUCCCGGUGGAAGUCGGUUCCAGGUACACGGACGAGGACUGGUCGCAGACGCUCAUGACGGUCGAUGAGUUCAUCAGCAGAUACGUCAGGAGUGAGUCAAAGGACGUCGGGUACCUUGCGCAGCACCAGCUCUUUGACCAGAUCCCGGAGCUGAAGCGGGACAUCAGCAUCCCGGACUACUGCUGCCUGGGCGACGGGGAGGAGGAAGAGAUCACCAUUAAUGCCUGGUUUGGUCCCCAAGGAACCGUGUCCCCCCUUCAUCAGGACCCUCAGCAGAACUUUCUGGUCCAGGUGAUCGGCAGGAAGUACAUCCGGCUGUAUUCCCCGCAGGAGUCAGAGGCUUUAUAUCCGCACGAGACGCACCUUCUUCAUAACACGAGCCAGAGAAUCGGAAGGCAGUAAGCUGACGGGACCAGAACUGAGAUCAGGAGGAGUGGCCCCAGACCCCGUGCUCAGCCUAUCAGAUGGACACUCUCAAUCUAGGAAGGGACAAAAAGGAGAGCUCGAGGUGGUUCCAGCUCGGCCACCAGGAGGUGGGAAGGUGGGAAGAUGGCUUUGGCCGGAAGGUCGUCCUGUGUCCUGGUGCCCUCUGGGUCCUGCCCAUUCACCAGUCUGGCCCCUGGCUGUCAACCAGUUCUGUGUGUCCCUGUCCCCAGCGCCCUUCCAACAUGGUUCUUUUAAGCUCGGCCAGAACUGGGUCGCUUGCUUGCUACCAAGCUCCCCGACGGGCCCAUCAAGUGUCACGGGUACACGGGACUGGUGCUUCCCGACUUCCAGUCCUCCAAGGAGCUAUUUGCACGGCCAUGCCCCCACGCCCUGCCCUGCUCCUGAAGCCUAGAAGCUCCAGGCUGCAGAUCUGUAUAAACACCCUGGGCCAAAGGACAGUUAGAGGAUCCCUUGGGCCCCAAUAUCCUAUAAGGCCAUGGUCAUGAUAAAGUGCCUAAGAUAAAAGGCUGAACCACGCACUUCUGAAGCAAUUAUUUCCAGCCUUAGUCCUGCCAUGUUGACGACUUAAGAGAAUUAAUUAAUAACAUCACUCCUCCCUUCAGAAUUGCAAACCCAUUGAGAAAAAAGACAGGCUUCAGCUAAGUAUCAAAGUUACCAGAUUUUUUUGCAGGUUGAGCUGGAUCAGAGGCUGGGUCCCUCAACACCACGGACCUGCAGUCAGCAUCAUGGGAGGACCAGCUCCAAGAAGUGACGAGCAAGGCCCCAGACCCCCCACCACCGUCUCUUCUCAGAGAGCAGCAGUGCACCGUGUACCCCGCUUCCACCCCCUCGUGAUCUCAUCAGAGCCUCGUGAACAACCACCGAGGCAAGCCGGAUACAGCAGGGUCUGGGCGCUUCCACAGAGAACACCAAGGGUCACGGAGCUUAAGGGCUUACCCAAGAAACCAGGGCCAGCGAGGGACAGACUACAGAUUGGCAAUCCAAGGGCUGGCCUUUAGUUUUUGGUACAGUGACAAAAGGACUUGAGCAUUCAUUCAAAUAAAGUUUUGCUUAGAUA